AGGACACAUUGAUAUCCCAGUCAGCACGUGAGAUCACACAAUGAUCACAGUGAUAUCACACCAUUCUCAUACGGUGAUACUCACAGUGUGAGUAAUAUAUGAGCUCAUUGUGAACUCAAAAAGAUGAGCGGGGUUCUUAUUUCUGUCAGACAUCUACAAAAGCGCUUAUUGAGAAUUAACAGAGAUUUAGAUGAUGAUGUUUUAUUGUUUUGUUUGACAUUACCAUCAAUGUGAGUAGUGUUUGCUUUAGUUGGGCUCUUGAACCUUUGACUUCAUAACAUUAUAUUUUUUGGGGCUGCUGUAACUGUUUGAAAAGCACAUUUGUUAUGGCAACGAAAACGAAAGAAAGAGAUUGCAACCAGGUGAUGUUGGUUUGUUGCUGAUGAUAACAGCGGAACCAUCUCCUAGAAUCAGUAUGCAGUCUUUGUGAAGAGUUACUAAUCUAAAGUUUUUAUAAUAGUUCUGUGAUUAUAGGACCCAGCAGUAUCGUUAUCAUUUAUUAAGGAUUUUAAAAGCAUAACUCACAAACAUUUUGAACUACUGUGUAAUUUAAACACAAAUAGAGACAUCAAGAAUCGGUGUAUGAAUCUCAACAAUGGUGACAGUCAAAAGCUUCAUGCUGCAAUGCAUGCUGGGUACCUAGUCUCUGUGCAGUGAGUGCACUUUGACCUCACAUUAGUAUGAGCACACAGUGAGGGCGCUGUGAGGUUACACUUUUAGCUCACUGUUACCUCACAUUGUGACCUCAUCACGAGUAUCCUGUGAGAUCAUGGUGACAUCACUGUAGAUCAAAUUGUUGACUGGGAUGUCAACUACCCAUAUGAGAUAUUUUGAUAGCUCUGUAAAGGUUUUCCUGGCGAUUUGUCAAUGGGUUGUUGGAAAAGGCUUUACUGAAUCGAUGACAUCACUUACAUGGAGAGUAUAAUCGAUUGAAAACAAGUUUUGAUAUUGCAUGGUAAACAAAUAUCAAUACAAAUUGUUCUGUGAUUUCAGGAGGACAGAAAGAAACUCUACAUAACAGAAGGGAAGCUCCAAGAUUUCAACAUUUCUGAAGGGAGCUACUGACUUAGAAAUACAGAUUCUUCAGUGCUGAUGGCCUGCUGCACCCAGCAGAGUUGGAGUGAACCUACUGUCAGACAGUGGCGUACCGUGGGGUUUCAGUCAGGGCCUUCAAUUCUUCAGUGCUGAUGGCCUGCUGCACCCAGCAGAGUCCGUGUGAACUCCUGUAAGACAACAUCACCAAGAUGCUAUAAACCGCAGGACUAGAUGCCCAUCCUGAGGUUACUAGAGAUGAAGCCAGCUCCAGUUUGGAUCCAAACUCACUUGUGAAGAUGCCAACGCUCACAAAGACUACAGAUGACGGCAACUGUACAUGGACACACAAAACACUGGACACACAAAACAAAUAUUAUCCUUAUAUUGCCUAUAAGGGUAAGUUUGACGAUUUUCAAUCCGCUAUUGUAUUAUUGCAAUGUCUGUAAUAUCUGUAAAUGAACAAUAUUUACUCUUUCUCUGAGUUAUAUGGACCCUAUUUGUCCCCUUUUAUUUGUAAGCAGCACUUCGCAAGAUGACGCAAAAUGAAAUGAGUUUUGACAAAAUGACACAAACACUUUUGCAGCAUCUAAAUGAAAAAAUGCUGUUUUGCAUCAGUUUUGCUGACAAAUACACUGGGUAUCUUGGAAAAAAGAAUAAACAUUGUUCUUUUACAUAUGUUACCAACAUUGUAACAAUACAAAAUGGACUGAAAAUUGUUGAACUUACCCUUUAAUAAUGUUGAAGGAUAAUGUUUAACUGAACACAAAAAUAGAGAUUUUAAAUAAAAAUAUUUUAGAAUUUUUAUCAUGCUAUUUAAAAUUUUUAACUGCUUAUUUAUUGUUUUCCUGGUUUUUAAUUUGUGUUUAUGCAACUGUUGUAUUAUUGUAACUCAGUUUUUGCCGUGAAGAUAGCCUUCGAUGCUGACAGCACAGAACACAUGACCUGUUUUAUGAACUACUGUCAUAUGGACAUUAUUUUGUUGCCAGAAGAUGGUCUUCCCCAGUGAGUCUCAGUCACCUCUGGCUGAUUAAAGGAUGUUUUUAAAUUGUAACCUUGAAAUAUGCAUAUUCUGUAAACCUACUUUGAAAUGAGAAGUAUUGUGAAAAGUGCUAUACUUAUACAAUAUUUAACCAUGGUUUUACUAUAGUAAAACUGUAGCAAGCAUGAUUAUAGUAACCAUGUGUUUUUUUUAUUUUUGA